UUAGGCAGGAUAAAGAACAAUAUUAUUUUAAAUCUCUCUUUUCUUUGAUAAUGAUGACUCGUGCUAUUCAAUUCACCCAUCAAACAUUCCACGAUUCAUAAACAACAGAUUUGGCCAUCAAACUGGCCAACUUGCCUAAACCCACAUAAGAUGGAAAGAACUAAUAAACUUCAAGUAUCCAAACUUUCAUUAUUUUCUAGACUCUUUCUACAUAAUCAAAAUGCGCAGCGCUGUGCUCCUUUCUUAUAUCCAAGUAUAUGAGAAGCUCUUAAGAGCUUAUGGUAAUUUUCUCUCCUCCCGGUGUUGUUCUGUCUUCAACCAGUGGGCAUUGAUCUCCUUUACUCUUCGCCAAUUAUUUUCCUCGUCAAAUCUUCCCUCCUCUUUUUCUAGUUCCUAUUUCCUUUCUCCAUGAACGGUAAAACUAGCAAUUAGCAUCGAGGAUGUCUAGGACUGCUACGCAUGCCUCUCCUCUAGAUCCUGAAGAUAAGCAUCCUCUACAUCCUGUAGAUGAGCAUCUUUAGUCAUCACCUCGGCAAAAAUGUGAUUUAGAACCAAAAAUGACACAAUAGAAAUAGUAUAAAUAACAUAACUAAUAGAAUAAACACAAUUCAUCAGCAUCAGCAU
rnacentral:lncRNA from 1 species